GACGAACGCUGGCGGCGUGCUUAACACAUGCCAGUCGAACGGAAAGGCCCUGCUUUUGUGGGGUGCUCGAGUGGCGAACGGGUGAGUAACACGUGAGUAACCUGCCCUUGACUUUGGGAUAACUUCAGGAAACUGGGGCUAAUACCGGAUAGGAGCUCCUGCUGCAUGGUGGGGGUUGGAAAGUUUCGGCGGUUGGGGAUGGACUCGCGGCUUAUCAGCUUGUUGGUGGGGUAGUGGCUUACCAAGGCUUUGACGGGUAGCCGGCCUGAGAGGGUGACCGGCCACAAUGGGACUGAGAGACGGCCCAGACUCCUACGGGAGGCAGCAGUGGGGAAUAUUGCACAGUGGGCGGAAGCCUGAUGCGGCAACGCCGCGUGCGGGAUGACGGCCUGCGGGUUGUAAACCGCUUUCGCCUGUGACGAAGCGUGAGUGACGGUAAUGGGUAAAGAAGCACCGGCUAACUACGUG
rnacentral:rRNA from 1 species